GAUGAACGCUGGCGGCGUGCCUAAUACAUGCCAGUCGAGCGAACAGAUGAGGAGCUUGCUCCUCUGACGUUAGCGGCGGACGGGUGAGUAACACGUGGAUAACCUACCUAUAAGACUGGGAUAACUUCGGGAAACCGGAGCUAAUACCGGAUAAUAUAUUGAACCGCAUGGUUCAAUAGUGAAAGACGGUCUUGCUGUCACUUAUAGAUGGAUCCGCGCCGCAUUAGCUAGUUGGUAAGGUAACGGCUUACCAAGGCAACGAUGCGUAGCCGACCUGAGAGGGUGAUCGGCCACACUGGAACUGAGACACGGUCCAGACUCCUACGGGAGGCAGCAGUAGGGAAUCUUCCGCAAUGGGCGAAAGCCUGACGGAGCAACGCCGCGCGAGUGAUGAAGGUCUUCGGAUCGUAAAACUCUGUUAUUAGGGAAGAACAAAUGUGUAAGUAACUGUGCACAUCUUGACGGUACCUAAUCAGAAAGCCACGGCUAACUACGUG
rnacentral:rRNA from 1 species